UUUGUACCAACAAUUCACCUAAUGACAUCAUAUCUGGAAACUUUGACAGUGAAAAAGUUGAUCAAGACGAGGUUUUUUACUAUAAAGAUACAUUACAUUUCUUCUUAGAAUGACCCAAAUAUUACACAUACCAAAAAUCAUAGUCGCACUUUAAGAAAAAGUCAAACAUUCUUCUUCGACUGUACCUAAUUAUAUAACCAUUCUAAGAACACUUCGGAUUAAAAUAUUUCUGAUUCUUUUCUGAAGUGUUGAUAAUCACAAACUAAAACAGCGGGUUAAAAUGUGAUUCAGGGAUAGCGCUAAUCCAGCUUUGAACAACCGGUCCCAAUAAAUUUAACCAGAAAUAUUCAGUUAACCAAAUUCUCGGUUAACCAGAGAAUUUUAACCCGGGUGUUUUUAAGGCUCGUUUUACAGUUGCAAUUUUUGCUGCGAUUUUCUCUUCUCAUGGAUGUGAACAAUGGAGGAGUUAUGAAUGUUCAGAUUCACAACUCAUCUACUCGUUCACAUGCAUCAAAAGACCAAAAUCGUAAACGUGCCUUUACGGUGUAUUAGAUCCAAUAGACCUUUCCCCUUUUAAGUGAGAUUUUGAUCAAGACAAGCCUUGACAAAAUCGAUCACAGCUUGAUCACAGCUUGAAAAAGCAUCACAACAUUAGUAAUAUUCCAAAGUUUCGUUGCGAAAUGUUGUAAAAUGCGGAUAAUAUAGCCUUGCGAAGUUUGCCGUUUUUCAGUCAUUUAGAUUACAAAUAGGAAAUUUAUAAUCAGUUUGAUCAUCUGAUUAUCAAUUUCCCGUUUGUAAUCUAAAUGACUGAAAAACGGCAAACUACGCAAGGCUAUAUUAUCCGCAUUUUACAACAUUUCGCAACGAAACUUUGGAAUAUUAC